rnacentral:rRNA from 1 species
GAUGAACGCUGGCGGCGUGCUUAGCACAUGCAAGUCGAACGGAAAGGCUCCUGCUUGCAGGGGUACUCGAGUGGCGAACGGGUGAGUAACACGUGGGUGAUCUGCCCUGCACUUCGGGAUAAGCCUGGGAAACUGGGUCUAAUACCGGAUAGGACGAUGGUUUGGAUGCCAUUGUGGAAAGUUUUUUCGGUGUGGGAUGAGCUCGCGGCCUAUCAGCUUGUUGGUGGGGUAAUGGCCUACCAAGGCGUCGACGGGUAGCCGGCCUGAGAGGGUGUACGGCCACAUUGGGACUGAGAUACGGCCCAGACUCCUACGGGAGGCAGCAGUGGGGAAUAUUGCACAAUGGGCGCAAGCCUGAUGCAGCGACGCCGCGUGGGGGAUGACGGCCUUCGGGUUGUAAACUCCUUUCGCUAGGGACGAAGCGCAAGUGACGGUACCUGGAGAAGAAGCACCGGCUAACUACGUG